CACAAGGCUUCUUGCAUUGAGUAGCUUGCAUUUAAGGCCAUUUGUAGUUUGAAUUGAGGUAGUUAGGGGCGUGCGUGCCUAGUCUUGGGUAAUGGUGGAUUGGUUGAAGUAGGGUUGAAUGUUGGGUUGAGGGUUGUGUGACUUAAUUUUGAUAUAGUCAGCACGGUAGUCAGUGUACAGGUCCUUCUAUCCU